GUCUCGUGCAUUUCAUGCAGCAGGGAUCCUCUGAUUCUGGUGGCCCAUGUAUACAAUUGUCAGCAUCGAAAAUUGGUGUUUUGACUUGAUAUUUUCAGCAAGGACAAAAAGCAUUGAUUUUCUGAUAGAGUGUGAACCCUGCUGCCAGUGGUGGGUUGGGAAUGAUAUUGUCCCGAGGUCAUGAGCACUGAACCAGCCUUGAUUUCUGGACCAGUUCACUUCAUUAUCAAUGGCAGAUGUCCAUGUCACCAGGUGUGCAUCUCAGGUGCCGACAAGCCAAGGAAAAUCCAGUGGAAUGUGUCUGCUUCAUGGGACUGUGCUGGGCCUCCUCGAAAGAUGCUGUUGUGACCUCUACAAGGGGGCUGGACCUUGAUGAAUGCCAAGGCCCAGGCUGGACCUCCAGGGCAAAAUAGACCACAACAGAAGCAAACCGACUUGUGAACUACUAUAUAUUUAUUUUAGCCCUUUCUUGUGUAACACAAAGCCAUACAGACCAGGAAGCUCAGAUCGGAUCCACAUCUGGAGCAGCUGGGCAUCCACGAAAUGGAAAAAGUAAUGAAGCAGGAUUCCACGCCUAAUUGCUACCCUGAUCCCUACUGGAAACCACGGUUGAGAAUUUCCGAAUCAGCCAUUGUAACUCUUGGCAGAAGAUUUGUAGAAACUUUAUUUACAACUCUAUCUGAGGAAAUUCCCAAUGCAAAUGCAUGCGAAAGUUGAGUGAGAGCAAGGCCAGGAUUUGCAUGUCUCUCCUGUGCUCAAAUUGCCUGCCAACAUUCAUAAUCUGAACAGCCAAUGGACUAAGCUUCUGGAGGGAUGCGAGCUGAAUUCUUCUGGAACAGAAGUCAGCACAAUCAAGAAAAGAACAGAGACAAGUAGGAGAAAGAAAGCCUAAAAAAAAAAUGUUAUUUUUCUUAUUCAUGUUGGUACUUGUUAACUUCAAAUCUUUGUAUAUUAUUAUAUGGAUGAUUAUACAGUUAAGUCCACUUUC